rnacentral:rRNA from 1 species
AUACGGAGGGUGCAAGCGUUAAUCGGAAUUACUGGGCGUAAAGCGUACGUAGGCGGUUCGUUAAGUUAGAUGUGAAAGCCCCGGGCUUAACCUGGGAACUGCAUUUAAAACUGGCGAACUAGAGUUGAGUAGAGGGGAGUGGAAUUUCAGGUGUAGCGGUGAAAUGCGUAGAGAUCUGAAGGAACACCAGUGGCGAAGGCGACUCCCUGGACUCAAACUGACGCUGAGGUACGAAAGCGUGGGUAGCAAACGGGAUUAGAAACCCGAGUAGUCC